rnacentral:rRNA from 1 species
UACAGAGGGUGCGAGCGUUAAUCGGAAUUACUGGGCGUAAAGCGCACGUAGGCGGCUUGGUAUGUCGGGUGUGAAAUCCCCGGGCUCAACCUGGGAACUGCAUCCGAAACUGCCUUGCUCGAGUAUGGGAGAGGGAAGUGGAAUUUCCGGUGUAGCGGUGAAAUGCGUAGAUAUCGGAAGGAACAUCAGUGGCGAAGGCGACUUCCUGGACCAAUACUGACGCUCAGGUGCGAAAGCGUGGGGAGCAAACA